rnacentral:tRNA from 1 species
UGUAAUCUGGUGUGUUAUGCAUUUUAUGUUUUGGUCAUAAGGGUAAUUGGGAGUUGAUUACAA